rnacentral:lncRNA from 1 species
GCGAUGUCUUGGUGGGAGUGUUGUGUGGCAAUUUAAUGAUUUCCGCUGUAACGAUUUUUGCAUCUGUCGAGUGGAGACGUCUCAGUCAAGAUAAAGGGAGGGGAGUAGUGAAGUCUGGGUCAGAAACACAACCAAGACGCGAGGAUCCUGAACUGUUUUUCGAGACUCCCUGGCAGCUGCCAUGAGGUCUAGUGGAGUUGGAGCUGGGCCCGGAAUUGGUUUAGGAUGGGUGGUUUUGGACACGCGGGAAAGAGGGAGGCACAACUGUAAAUGGGCCGGUGGUACUGCAAUCUGAGCCAUUUCUUUACUAUCUCGCGCCUGAUAAUGCUUUUGCCACUCAGCACUGGGUAGGGGAAUGGUGGGUAAUCGGGCCGGUCUGACGACCUUUGCCAGGCCAGAGGGAGCUCCUAGGCGCUCAGCUCCCGCGAUGGCCGACAUCACAAGUUUUUGAGAACUUUCAGUUGGGGAAGAAGUUUCUCGGUGAAGUAAUUUUUAGAAAAGUAUAAGUCUAGAUUCCAGCAAUGUGAAAUAAACGUGCUUCAGAUGUUUUACUUAAGUCAUUAGUAAGGGAACCAGUAAGAUGUUAAAAUGUUCCUAAGAAUAUCUGAAAAGCUAGAUAUACAUGCGCAAUUUACAAAUAAAGUUAGGAUAAAAUUGCUGGGCUAGCUACAAAACUGGGUAAUGCCCAGCAUGGCCAUAAACCCUAUAGGGUUAUCUGUUCCAUUAGACAGAAGUUGUUUGUGUCUCCCAAAUUAACUUCUGCGCCAACUGGGUAAUUAUCUUUUGGCACAUGUUACCAUGCUACCUGAGAAAGCAAACUAAUGUGUAAUACUUGGUAGCCACUUGGGUGAAUCUAAAUUGGAGGUUAUAGUCUGAUAAAUACAGAUUUGUUUGUUCAUAUUGCAGUGAAUGUACAUGGUUGCUGGCCACAGUAACAUUUUGCUUAUGUAGCCAUAUUAUAUGGUCUUGGUAUAAAAGGUUUGGAUAUGGAAAAUUUAAGU